rnacentral:rRNA from 1 species
CCUACGGGAGGCAGCAGUGAGGAAUAUUGGUCAAUGGACGAGAGUCUGAACCAGCCAAGUAGCGUGAAGGAUGACUGCCCUAUGGGUUGUAAACUUCUUUUAUAUGGGAAUAAAAUGUUCCACGUGUGGGAUUUUGUAUGUACCAUAUGAAUAAGGAUCGGCUAACUCCGUGCCAGCAGCCGCGGUAAUACGGAGGAUCCGAGCGUUAUCCGGAUUUAGUGGGUUGACAGGGAGCGUAGGUGGAUUGUUAAGUCAGUUGUGAAAGUUUGCGGCUUAACCGUAAAAUUGCAAUUGAAACUGGCAGUCUUGAGUACAGGAGAGGUGGGCGGAAUUCGUGGUGUAGCGGUGAAAUGCUUAGAUAUCACGAAGAACUCCGAUUGCGAAGGCAGCUCACUGGACUGCAACUGACACUGAGGCUCGAAAGUGUGGGUAUCAAACAGGAUUAGAUACCCCUGUAGUC